rnacentral:rRNA from 1 species
AUUGAACGCUGGCGGCAUGCUUUACACAUGCAAGUCGAACGGUAACAGGCCGCAAGGUGCUGACGAGUGGCGAACGGGUGAGUAAUGCAUCGGAACGUGCCCAGUCGUGGGGGAUAACGCAGCGAAAGCUGUGCUAAUACCGCAUACGAUCUAUGGAUGAAAGCGGGGGACCGUAAGGCCUCGCGCGAUUGGAGCGGCCGAUGUCAGAUUAGCUAGUUGGUGGGGUAAAGGCCCACCAAGGCGACGAUCUGUAGCUGGUCUGAGAGGACGACCAGCCACACUGGGACGGAGACAAGGCCAAGACUCCUACGGGAGGCAGCAGCGGGGAAUUUUGGACAAUGGGCGCAAGCCUGAUCCAGCAAUGCCGCGUGCAGGAAGAAGGCCUUCGGGUUGUAAACUGCUUUUGUACGGAACGAAACGGUCUGGGUUAAUACCCUGGGCUAAUGACGGUACCGUAAGAAUAAGCACCGGCUAACUACGUGCCAGCAGCCGCCGUAAAAC